GAAAGCCGUAUACGCUGAGAGGUGUACGUACGGUUUGGAGGGGGACAUUUGAAAACCUACCAUAAUAAUAUGGAAAGGCGUUGGUUGUCUACCCUAU
rnacentral:ncRNA from 1 species